rnacentral:rRNA from 1 species
GACGGCUAACUCCGUGCCAGCAGCCGCGGUAAUACGGGGGAUGCAAGCGUUAUUCGGAAUUAUUGGGCGUAAAGCGCCUGUAGGUUGUUUAGUAAGUCCGUUGUUAAAUACUAGGGCUUAACCCUGGGAAAGCAAUAGAAACUACUAGACUUGAGUAUGGCAGGGGUAGAGGGAAUUUCUAGUGUAGCGGUGAAAUGCGUAGAUAUUAGAAAGAACACCGGCGGCGAAAGCGCUCUACUGGACCAUUACUGACACUGAGAGGCGAAAGCUAGGGUAGCAAAAGGGAUUAGAUACCCCUGUAGUCCUAGCCGUAAACGGUGGAUACUAGGUGUUGUGCAAAUUGUACAGUAUCUUAGCUAACGCGUUAAGUAUCCCGCCUGGGGAGUACGCUCGCAAGAAAAAAACCUCAAAGGAAAAGUGCAGCCG